AUUGAACGCUGGCGGCAUGCCUUACACAUGCAAGUCGAACGGCAGCACGGGAGCAAUCCUGGUGGCGAGUGGCGAACGGGUGAGUAAUAUAUCGGAACGUGCCCAGUCGUGGGGGAUAACGCAGCGAAAGCUGUGCUAAUACCGCAUACGAUCUAAGGAUGAAAGCGGGGGAUCGCAAGACCUCGCGCGAUUGGAGAGGCCGAUAUCAGAUUAGCUAGUUGGUGGGGUAAAGGCCCACCAAGGCGACGAUCUGUAGCUGGUCUGAGAGGACGACCAGCCACACUGGAACUGAGACACGGUCCAGACUCCUACGGGAGGCAGCAGUGGGGAAUUUUGGACAAUGGGCGCAAGCCUGAUCCAGCAAUGCCGCGUGCAGGACGAAGGCCUUCGGGUUGUAAACUGCUUUUGUACGGAACGAAACGGCCCUUUCUAAUACAGGGGGCUAAUGACGGUACCGUAAGAAUAAGCACCGGCUAACUACGUGCCAGCAGCCGCCGUAA
rnacentral:rRNA from 1 species